rnacentral:rRNA from 1 species
GGUCAAGUGAAGAAGCGCAUACGGUGGAUGCCUUGGCAGUCAGAGGCGAUGAAAGACGUGGUAGCCUGCGAAAAGCUUCGGGGAGUCGGCAAACAGACUUUGAUCCGGAGAUGUCUGAAUGGGGGAACCCAGCCAUCAUAAGAUGGUUAUCUUGUACUGAAUACAUAGGUGCAAGAGGCGAACCAGGGGAACUGAAACAUCUAAGUACCCUGAGGAAAAGAAAUCAACCGAGAUUCCCUUAGUAGUGGCGAGCGAACGGGGACUAGCCCUUAAGUGGCUUUGAGAUUAGCGGAACGCUCUGGAAAGUGCGGCCAUAGUGGGUGAUAGCCCUGUACGCGAAAAUCUCUUAGUCAUGAAAUCGAGUAGGACGGAGCACGAGAAACUUUGUCUGAAUAUGGGGGGACCAUCCUCCAAGGCUAAAUACUACUGACUGACCGAUAGUGAACUAGUACCGUGAGGGAAAGGCGAAAAGAACCCCGGAGAGGGGAGUGAAAUAGAUCCUGAAACCGUAUGCGUACAAGCAGUGGGAGCCCACUUUGUUGGGUGACUGCGUACCUUUUGUAUAAUGGGUCAGCGACUUAUUUUCAGUGGCGAGCUUAACCGAAUAGGGGAGGCGUAGCGAAAGCGAGUCUUAAUAGGGCGUCUAGUCGCUGGGAAUAGACCCGAAACCGGGCGAUCUAUCCAUGGGCAGGUUGAAGGUUAGGUAACACUGACUGGAGGACCGAACCGACUACCGUUGAAAAGUUAGCGGAUGACCUGUGGAUCGGAGUGAAAGGCUAAUCAAGCUCGGAGAUAGCUGGUUCUCCUCGAAAGCUAUUUAGGUAGCGCCUCAUGUAUCACUGUAGGGGGUAGAGCACUGUUUCGGCUAGGGGGUCAUCCCGACUUACCAAACCGAUGCAAACUCCGAAUACCUACAAGUGCCGAGCAUGGGAGACACACGGCGGGUGCUAACGUCCGUCGUGAAAAGGGAAACAACCCAGACCGUCAGCUAAGGUCCCAAAGUUAUGGUUAAGUGGGAAACGAUGUGGGAAGGCUUAGACAGCUAGGAGGUUGGCUUAGAAGCAGCCACCCUUUAAAGAAAGCGUAAUAGCUCACUAGUCGAGUCGGCCUGCGCGGAAGAUGUAACGGGGCUCAAACCAUACACCGAAGCUACGGGUAUCACUUAGGUGAUGCGGUAGAGGAGCGUUCUGUAAGCCUGUGAAGGUGAGUUGAGAAGCUUGCUGGAGGUAUCAGAAGUGCGAAUGCUGACAUGAGUAACGACAAUGGGUGUGAAAAACACCCACGCCGAAAGACCAAGGUUUCCUGCGCAACGUUAAUCGACGCAGGGUUAGUCGGUCCCUAAGGCGAGGCUGAAAAGCGUAGUCGAUGGAAAACAGGUUAAUAUUCCUGUACUUCUGGUUAUUGCGAUGGAGGGACGGAGAAGGCUAGGCCAGCUUGGCGUUGGUUGUCCAAGUUUAAGGUGGUAGGCUGGAAUCUUAGGUAAAUCCGGGAUUCUAAGGCCGAGAGCUGAUGACGAGUGUUCUUUUAGAACACGAAGUGGUUGAUGCCAUGCUUCCAAGAAAAGCUUCUAAGCUUCAGGUAACCAGGAACCGUACCCCAAACCGACACAGGUGGUUGGGUAGAGAAUACCAAGGCGCUUGAGAGAACUCGGGUGAAGGAACUAGGCAAAAUGGCACCGUAACUUCGGGAGAAGGUGCGCCGGUGAGGGUGAAGCACUUGCUGCGUAAGCCCACGCCGGUCGAAGAUACCAGGCCGCUGCGACUGUUUAUUAAAAACACAGCACUCUGCAAACACGAAAGUGGACGUAUAGGGUGUGACGCCUGCCCGGUGCCGGAAGGUUAAUUGAUGGGGUUAGCUAACGCGAAGCUCUUGAUCGAAGCCCCGGUAAACGGCGGCCGUAACUAUAACGGUCCUAAGGUAGCGAAAUUCCUUGUCGGGUAAGUUCCGACCUGCACGAAUGGCGUAACGAUGGCGGCGCUGUCUCCACCCGAGACUCAGUGAAAUUGAAAUCGCUGUGAAGAUGCAGUGUAUCCGCGGCUAGACGGAAAGACCCCGUGAACCUUUACUAUAGCUUUGCACUGGACUUUGAAUUUGCUUGUGUAGGAUAGGUGGGAGGCUUUGAAGCGUGGACGCCAGUUCGCGUGGAGCCAUCCUUGAAAUACCACCCUGGCAACUUUGAGGUUCUAACUCAGGUCCGUUAUCCGGAUCGAGGACAGUGUAUGGUGGGUAGUUUGACUGGGGCGGUCUCCUCCUAAAGAGUAACGGAGGAGUACGAAGGUGCGCUCAGACCGGUCGGAAAUCGGUCGUAGAGUAUAAAGGCAAAAGCGCGCUUGACUGCGAGACAGACACGUCGAGCAGGUACGAAAGUAGGUCUUAGUGAUCCGGUGGUUCUGUAUGGAAGGGCCAUCGCUCAACGGAUAAAAGGUACUCCGGGGAUAACAGGCUGAUACCGCCCAAGAGUUCAUAUCGACGGCUGUGUUUGGCACCUCGAUGUCGGCUCAUCACAUCCUGGGGCUGAAGCCGGUCCCAAGGGUAUGGCUGUUCGCCAUUUAAAGUGGUACGCGAGCUGGGUUUAGAACGUCGUGAGACAGUUCGGUCCCUAUCUGCCGUGGACGUUUGAGAUUUGAGAGGGGCUGCUCCUAGUACGAGAGGACCGGAGUGGACGAACCUCUGGUGUUCCGGUUGUCACGCCAGUGGCAUUGCCGGGUAGCUAUGUUCGGAAUAGAUAACCGCUGAAAGCAUCUAAGCGGGAAACUAGCCUCAAGAUGAGAUCUCACUGGAGCCUUGAGCUCCCUGAAGGGCCGUCGAAGACUACGACGUUGAUAGGUUGGGUGUGUAAGCGCUGUGAGGCGUUGAGCUAACCAAUACUAAUUGCCCGUGAGGCUUGACCAU